AGUCGGGGAAGGCUGCCAGGAUCUGGAGCUCCUGGGCUCAGCUUGGACCAGGGCUCGGAAAGAGGCAGUGGCCGGCCACCCUGCACCCAUCCCGUCGCCGUCGCGGAGCCCGCUCGGCUGGCCCAGGAAGGAUGGGACUACUGUGGUGUUUGAUGAGUCUGUACUUCUAUGGGAUCCUUCAGAGUCAUGCCUCAGAACGCUGUGAUGACUGGGGACUAGAUACCAUGCGACAAAUCCAAGUGUUUGAAGAUGAGCCAGCUCGCAUCAAGUGUCCCCUCUUUGAACACUUCUUGAAGUACAACUACAGCACGGCCCAUUCCUCUGGCCUUACCCUGAUCUGGUACUGGACUCGGCAAGACCGGGACCUGGAGGAACCCAUUAACUUCCGCCUCCCAGAGAAUCGCAUCAGUAAGGAGAAAGACGUGCUCUGGUUCCGGCCCACCCUCCUCAAUGACACAGGCAAUUACACCUGCAUGUUGAGGAAUACUACGUAUUGCAGCAAAGUUGCAUUUCCCCUGGAAGUUGUCCAGCAGGGCAGAUGCUUCAGUUCCCCCAUGAGACUCACGGUGCAUAAAGUGUAUAUCGAACACAGUACACAUAACAUCACGUGCCCAAAUGUAGAUGGAUACUUUCCUCCCAGUGUCAAACCAACCGUCACUUGGUAUAAGGGUUGUACUGAAGUAGUGGAUUUUCAUAAUGUAGUACCUGAUGGUAUGAACUUGACCUUUUUCAUCCCCUUGGUCUCAAAUAAUGGAAAUUAUACAUGUGUUGUUACAUAUUCUGAAAAUGGACGCCUCUUUCACCUCACCAGGACUAUGAGUGUAAAGGUGGUAGGCUCGCCAAAAGAUGCAUUACCACCCCAGAUCUAUUCUCCGAAUGAACGUGUUGUCUAUGAGAAAGAACCAGGAGAGGAGCUUCUCAUCCCCUGUAAAGUCUAUUUCAGUUUUAUCAUGGAAUCCCACAAUGAGAUCUGGUGGACCAUUGAUGGAAAGAAGCCUGAGGAUGUUACUGCUGACGUAACUACUAAUGAAAGUAUAAGUUAUUCUACAACAGAAGAUGAAACAAGGACUCUGGUGUUGAGCAUCAAGAAAGUCACCCCUGAGGAUCUCAGGCGCAACUAUGUCUGUCAUGCUCGAAAUACCAAAGGGGAAGCUGAGCAAGCAGCCAAGGUGAAACAGAAAGUAAUACCGCCAAGGUACACAGUGGAACUCGCCUGUGGUUUUGGAGCCACAGUCUUUCUGGUGGUGGUUCUUAUUGUGGUCUACCAUGUUUACUGGCUGGAGAUGGUUCUCUUUUACCGGGCUCAUUUUGGAACAGAUGAAACAAUUCUUGAUGGAAAGGAGUAUGAUAUUUAUGUGUCCUAUGCAAGAAAUGCUGAGGAAGAGGAAUUUGUGUUACUGACACUCCGUGGCGUUUUGGAGAAUGAAUUUGGAUACAAGCUGUGCAUCUUCGACAGAGAUAGCCUGCCUGGUGGAAAUACGGUGGAAGCAGUGUUUGAUUUCAUUCAGCGGAGCCGAAGGAUGAUUGUUGUCCUGAGCCCUGACUAUGUGACAGAAAAGAGCAUCAGCAUGCUGGAGUUUAAGCUGGGCGUCAUGUGCCAGAACUCCAUUGCCACCAAGCUCAUUGUGGUGGAGUACCGUCCCCUCGAGCAUCCCCACCCAGGCAUCCUGCAGUUGAAGGAGUCUGUGUCUUUUGUGAGCUGGAAGGGAGAGAAGUCCAAACAUUCUGGCUCCAAGUUCUGGAAGGCCUUGCGCUUGGCUCUUCCCCUGAGAAGCCUGAGCGCCAGCUCUGGCUGGAAUGAGAGCAGCUCUUCUCAGUCUGACACCAGUUUGGAUCACGUUCAGAGGAGAAGUCGUUUGAAAGAGCCCCCAGAACUCCGGAGCUUAGAGCGGGUGUCUGGAGCAGCGCCAGCCCCGGGCAUCAUGUCCAAGCACCGAGGGAAGCCCUCGGCAGCUUGUCGCUGCUGUGUCACCUACUGUGAAGGAGAAAGUCACCUCAGGAGCAAGAGCCGGGCAGAGAUGCAUACCCAACCCCAGUGGGAAACACACCUCUGUAAGCCUGCUCUCCAAGAGUCGGAAAGUCAGUGGCUGCAAAAUGGCACCAGACCCGAACCCGCUCCCCAGAUCUCAGCUCUUGCACGGCACCAUUUCACAGAUUUAUCCAAUAACAACGACUUUUAUAUUCUAUAAUCACUUUAUGUGGAGGGUGGUGGCUGCUAUUUCUACCAACUCUCUCUCUGGGUCACAAACCUUUGGGAAUAAUUGACAUUUUUAUCAUCUAAAUAGACUAUCAGAUUUGUGUCCCCUUUAUUGAUUUUUUAAAAACUAUUUAUUUCUAGGAGACAAAAGACCGGAAGCACCUGAUUGCAGUUAUUGCCUCUAAUGGCCUCGGAAGAGCACACUCUUCUCGGGCCCUAGAAGGCUCUGAUUUUCUCCAGCCAAGGAGGACUACAAAUCAUCCUUUUAACAAAGUGUUUGCAGGCAAUAGCUGAAAAUAAAGGGCUUGUUUAGCCCUUGGAAUUGUCUCAGCACAAGCAAACAAUCGAAUAGAGUGGUUGGUAGAGUGUAUUUAUAAUCUAUGAACUAUCUAACACUGCUCUUUGGAACUUGGUGGGAGUGUUCCAGCCAUCAUCUCUACUAGAGUAAGAUAAGCUAUGCUGGACAAAGAUUUCAGUAACUUCCCAUCACACAUCUUAUUUUUGCUGAUGCCAAAUGUCCAGCAUAGGGGCUUGCAGUUUUGUGUCCUUGCCAUGUGAAAUGUGUAGCUUGCAGUUGUUCUAUAAUUGAGCUUAAAUUGACACCCCUUUUUUUCCUUUCCCUUAUAUUUUAUAAACGAGAACUGUUUCCAAGGUCCUGAUGAAGUCAUAUAGAAGCCUACAACAUAUAUUCUACUGUCACUAGGAAGGGAAAAUUACACUGAACUUUGUGAACACAUAGCAUUGUCUUCUUCUACAAAUGAGAUGAGGAUGAGAUACUUAGAUGAUGAUGCAAAGAAGGACCUUCAGUCUUUAUUCUGUUACUUCACAUAGUCAAACAACAAAGGACUCCGAUGCUCACGUCCAACCUGAGUAUGCCAAGUUAUCAAGAUGAAAGCCCACACAGAAAUGAAUAAAGCUUUCAUAUAAGUGCUCCCUAAGUGAAAGUCAUUGACAGACUUAAUUACAAUAAUUACGGUUUCUGGUUAAGAGAAAGCAUGUUUUGAAAGUUGAAAGUUGUCAUGUUUGGUUACUUUCCAUUUAGUGGCUUUAGUUAGUACUCUAAGAAUGUGAUGCUCAAACUGUCCGCAAAUGAGCCAUUUCAUUUUGGAAAUUCAGGGAGCCUCAGAAGAAUUGAAGGCAUUUAGAACACAGCAGAGCAUGUAACACGGUCAUUAGAAAGCAUCAUUGAUCCAUUUAUCUAAAGAGUUAAACAGGGAAUUCAAACUGACCAUGCUGAAGCUCAGAAGAACUCAGUGGAGAGCAGUACCCAUGGGUGUCAUGGAGUCUGUGACUACCCUCCUUGCAUUUUCUCUCUUUCUGAUUGGGCUCUAUUGCCAUUAAGUAUUUGAAUUUUUCAACGUUUUUCUAAUAUAGACAGUGUUAUUUGGUAAUAAUUAAAAACUCUCCUUAGUUUGGCAGAAAUUCAUAUUUCAGAGUCUUGAUACACGAGAACAAACUGCAGUGUUGAACAAAGAAGAAUUUUCUUUCUCGGCAUCAUGGGGAAAUUACUCACUAUUCAAAAAUCCUUCUAAGAAUAGUUCACACAGUUUUGCCUUGAGUACUUCAAACAUUUAAAAACACUGAAAUGUAAAGAACGCCUUUCUGAAAGGUAUACAUGGAUAGGAAGAUGCAAGCAUGCAAACAACAUCUGCUAGCGGAUCACGAGCUGUACUCUCUCCCGGGAUGACUAUUAUUUGAAUGCUUUAAACAAUUUUAAACCAUGUGUAGUAGAUCAUUCCUCCAGUCCCAAUGCUCAGGAGGCAAAAGCAACAGGAUUAUGAGUUGGAAACGAGUCUGUGCUAUAGAGCAAAUUCCAGGCCAAUUUGGGUUAUAUGGUGAGACCACACCCUUCAAAAUAGAAUGCUAAAAUUGUUAUUUUAUUACCUGAUUUUCAUUUAUUUAACUCACUGAUUUAUUUUCAACUAUGACAGCUGAGUCACAGGAUGACUGUGUUUUAGAUGCCAGGGCAAGUGGUUCUGAGCCAGAAGUAAACUUAUUCCUUCAGGCUAAUUGCACGUACCUGUGGUGUGCCCCAGACAGCCAAAUCUCCCUCAAAUGAUUGAAAUGCUUGAUCUUGUUAAGAAUGGUGGCUUUAAGGACCUUUACAAUUUUUGUACAAGAGUCCAUAAAAAUUCAGUAAUAAUAUCUUGUAUAUAUGGAAUGAAAGGGUAAAACAAAUACCAUAUUACAGAUAUUGUUCUUCCUCCUUAAAGUGAAACUCAUUGCCAAAUGCUGGAAGUGAAUUAUUUGUUCAAAGGCUAAAGAAAUCUUUUAGCCUUUCUAGUUCUUUACUUUCAUAUUGUUUGCAUUCUGAUUAUGAGAUAAUGAGACAAUAAAAAUAAAGAACAUAAAAAUCACAAAAGUAAAUAGAGUUGCUAACCUAGAUAGCCAAAGAAGACAAUAGUCUCGGUGUUUAUUAUUUUCAUAUGAUCAGUCCCCUGAAGCAGGAAAGAGUGUUUCAAAUCCAGUCAUUUGGUUACUGGUUAUUGGCAAAUUUCACUAAAUGAUGUCUAAGAAGAAACUGAAGCAAACAGUGAGGACAAUCAAGCCCCGUUUCCCUACUUUUUUUUUUUUUUUUUUUUUUUUUUGGUUUUUUGAGACAGGGUUUCUCUGUGUAGCUUUGCGCCUUUCCUAGGACUCACUUGGUAGCCCAGGCUGGCCUCGAACUCACAGAGAUCUGCCUGCUUCUGCCUCCCGAGUGCUGGGAUUAAAGGCGUGCACCCCCACCGCCUGGGCCAUUUCCCUACUUCUAAACACCAGGAUGAAAGAGGAAAAAUUGUCAAAUCCCUUUGUUAUCAACUAGAGUAAGGUGUUAAGAGGGUCUCAAGGCUUAGGGAACCAAGUUAGACAGUCAUUUUCAUUGCAAGCUUGAUAUUAUAUAAAAUAUUACUUUUGGAGUCAGGACAUAUGAUUUGGGAUACCAAUUAUUAUAGUGAAUGUGCAUUUCAACAGCACAUGUUUGCUCUCAGAUUCUCAGUUCCUUCAUGUUAAGUGGAAAUAAUAUCUACCUCAUUGAAUUGUUGUAAGGGUAAAAUUAUUCAAUAAAUGUGAACUUCUGAAACCUGUAA